rnacentral:lncRNA from 1 species
GAUGAGAGUUUGGGACUUGGGAGCAUUAAAUUAAUCUUUUUUAUUUGGGUGAGAAGUGCCAUUCAUUAAAUGGCUUUGCAGAUUCCCUAGGGAAGGGGAUUUGGUACAUAGUAUUUUGGUGUGAGAAAAGGUGAAAGUAAGAAAGAGAAAGAGAAAGAGAAAGAAGAGAUUGUUUAAUUAUAGUAGCAGUGAGUGGAGUCAUGGAGCAGUGAGUGUGAAUGAGGUGGGGUUUUGUGAUUGAAUUCAAAGGGAGCAUUGAUUAUUAAAUGAAAGGGGGAAUGGGGGAAAAGAGAUGGUGGGGGCCAUUUACAAAGGGAUCAUUGGAGAAGAAAAUUAAAUUAAUGGAGUUGUGGCAGAAAAUAUUGAAGUUUGGGCAAAUCCAUUGAUGAAUAAGUCAAGAAGGCACUUCAUAUUUUUUAUAUAUAGGUCACCAUUAUUGCUUCACCAGCUUUUACUCUAGCUCCAAGAAAAUGAAUGAAAAUCAAUGAUCAACUCAAGGAGAAAAACCAAGGGUUGAACUUCAAAAAUAACAUUUGGCUCUGUAUAAUCAGACUUUUGGUUUGAGGUUUGUGUUCUACACAGUGUGUAUGUGUGUUUUUUUUGGCGGGAAAAUUUGCCUUUUCUUUUUCUUUGUCCUAACCAUAUACUGGACUCUUUUUUUUCUUCGAACGUGUAAGGUUACACGUGUGUAUUCUUUUAAUUAUUAAUUUUCUUGUAAAGGAGGUAAUAUGAAGGAAAAAACCCUCCUUUUUUCCGGCCAAAAUUUGGCCUAACCAUACAAAGGGUCUUUGGGGCCUUUCAAAGUGUGUUGUAUUUGGAUUUCUUGUGCCAAACAUGAUGUUACAUCUAGUAUAUAUGAAAUAAAUUAUAUCAUGUUUUUAUUGGGUGGCAUUUUUUCUAUUUGAUUCUUCCUCCCUCACUGUCACUCCUCCUUUUCUUUUCCACAGUGUGACAUGCACGUAAAUGACAGUAAAGACUAUUGUAGAUUUGCCAAUUGUUUUUAUUACUGCCUAGAGAACUUUAUAAUGAAAAAGGUGGAAUUUUAGGGGGAAACAAAACAUGGCCAUAGCUAAAUGCAGUGAAGUGAAGUGAUAACCUUAUGGUUAUCGCAUGGUACUGAGUCUACUCACCCUCGCUUUUGUUUCAUUCCCCUUAUGGUUCUUGUCUAUUCAUGUUAUCCAAUGACCGAGUCGGAAUUUUCACUAAAAGGAUUUAAAAUAUAUUUGAAAAUAUAAAUAUAUAAUAAAAUUAAAGAGAUUCAACAU